UAUUCUACCCUUUUUGAACCUUGGCCUUAAACAGGAUGAAAACCCUUGCUUUGAAAAUAUUUACCUUGAGUUGGGUUGAGAAUAAUUGUAUGGUAUUGAAAAGGUUCAAGUUUGGGGUUGUUUAGGAAAAUUUGAAAAGUAAACGAAAGGCAUUGAGCUCAAGUGUUGAAUAAAAGAAAAAGCAUGAGAAAAGAAGAAAAUUAAAGAAGAAAAAGCAUGAAAAAUGAGCUCAAUGUAAAAAUAAAAGAAAAGGGAAGAAGUUGGGAAUGAGUGAGAUUGGUUAAGAAGAGAGUUUGUGCUUGAACUUUGAAUGUUAAAAUAGCUCUCUUGACUCAAGGAUUUUGUGCUCCAGAAAUACCAUUUUUUCUUGUUAGCCCAACCUCAUUAUAAGCUUUGAUAAAAGUCCUU
rnacentral:lncRNA from 1 species